GUCGGGGCUCCCUCCCGCGCCUCUGCAGGCGGGGCGGGGCAGCGCUCGGCGCUGGGCCCUGGGUUUGGGGUCAAGGCUGGCAUGUCGGGGAUCAGGGCAGCAAACCCAGCACGUCCAGAGUUAGUCCUGCGCUGGUGUACUGGAAUCUAGCCAGGCAUCACGCAUUCGUAUUAACUCGCUGCGUGACGUUGUGUACCCGCUGGCCUCCCCCCCCCCCUUUCCUAUUUGGUGAGGCUCAUUUUCCGCGGUUCUAGAAGUCAGUAUUAGAUGUGGAAGUCGUGUGUGUCCCUCCUACAACGGAAGCUUCCCGAGAACAGCGCUCUCUGGCUUCCAUCACUGCUGUCUCCGCAGCACCUGCAAGGACUCCCGACACGUGCGCGUGCUCCACGAAGACGGUAGUUCCUGAUGCUUUAGCUAGAGAACACAGAGGAGCACCGCAAAGAGCACUGACAUCAUCUUUAAAACCACUCAGCUACCGCCGACAGCCAGCAAUUACUUAAAUUUACUAACUUACCAGAUAUCAAGCAGCUGACAAUACCGUCAGACAAAGAGAUACCGGAAAUGGUGCACACAAAAAGGCCAUGUGAGAACACAACAAGAAGGCACCUGCCUGCCAGCCCAGAAGAAAAGAGCAGCUAACACUGCAGACACCUUGCUCUUGAUGUUCCCGCCUCCAGGAUAGUGAGAAAACAAGUUUCUGUUGUUUAUGCCCCCCCCCAGCUUGUGGUAUUUUAUCAUCGUAGCCCUAGUAAACUAAUAUAAGUAUGGUGGAGGAAUCAAGAAAACUGAUUGCGGCUUGCAUAGCCUUUUCUCUAAACCAGGUUUUUUGUUAUUGUUUCAGUGUUUUUCAUAAUACAUAUGUUAUUUUCUUUUUAAUUGCACUUUCUGGUUUUCACAUAAUCACCUUCCAUCUUUGUGGGGCCCAGGGUGUUUUUGUAAAGCAUGCAUGCAGUGUGUAAUAAUCAGAUCAAGUAAAGCAACUGUCAUCUUGAAUC